rnacentral:rRNA from 1 species
UGGGGAAUAUUGCACAAUGGGGGAAACCCUGAUGCAGCAACGCCGCGUGAGUGAUGAAGGUCUUCGGAUUGUAAAGCUCUGUCUUUUGGGACGAUUAUGACGGUACCAAAGGAGGAAGCCACGGCUAACUACGUGCCAGCAGCCGCGGUAAUACGUAGGUGGCAAGCGUUGUCCGGAUUUACUGGGCGUAAAGGGUGUGUAGGCGGAUGUUUAAGUGAGAUGUGAAAUACCCGGGCUUAACUUGGGUGCUGCAUUUCAAACUGGAUAUCUAGAGUGCAGGAGAGGAGAAUGGAAUUCCUAGUGUAGCGGUGAAAUGCGUAGAGAUUAGGAAGAACACCAGUGGCGAAGGCGAUUCUCUGGACUGUAACUGACGCUGAGGCACGAAAGCGUGGGUAGCAAACAGG